rfam:Hordeum vulgare subsp. vulgare, WGS project CAJW01000000 data, contig: morex_contig_851042
GGUCAUCGCGCUUGGUUGAAAAGCCAGUGGCGCGAAGCUACCGUGUGCCGGAUUAUGACUGAACGCCUCUAAGUCAGAAUCCAAGCUAGCAUGCGACG